rnacentral:rRNA from 1 species
GACGAACGCUGGCGGCGUGCUUAACACAUGCAAGUCGAACGGAAAGGCCCUGCUUUUGUGGGGUGCUCGAGUGGCGAACGGGUGAGUAACACGUGAGUAACCUGCCCUUGACUUUGGGAUAACUUCAGGAAACUGGGGCUAAUACCGGAUAGGAGCUCCUGCUGCAUGGUGGGGGGUGGAAAGUUUCGGCGGCUGGGGAUGGACUCGCGGCUUAUCAGCUUGUUGGUGGGGUAGUGGCUUACCAAGGCUUUGACGGGUAGCCGGCCUGAGAGGGUGACCGGCCACAUUGGGACUGAGAUACGGCCCAGACUCCUACGGGAGGCAGCAGUGGGGAAUAUUGCACAAUGGGCGGACGCAUGAUGCAGCAACGCCGCGUGCGGGAUGACGGCCUUCGGGUUGUAAACCGCUUUCGCCUGUGACGAAGCGUGAGUGACGGUAAUGGGUAAAGAAGCACCGGCUAACUACGUG